UGUGUUAUUGGAGAUGGUCUUAGAAGAAACCCUAACACAGAUCUCUCAAGUUCACCCGCACACCAAGUCUCUGCCUCUCUCCUUCUUGCAACUCCGACCACCGGAGUGAGCUCCGGCGACAAGCAUAUACCCAGCUCCGGUUCUCUUCUCCAGCCGCAUACCCACCUCCAAACUCUGGUCUCUCCUUAAAAUCAAAACGACAGAUAGAGAGAGAGCUUGAAACAGAGACUAAGAGAGAGAGAGAGAGAAAGUGAGAAACCAGAGAAAAAGAGAGGGAUAUGUGGAAGAAAAGAGCGACUGUUCACGAAACGGCAGCUCUCCGGCGAGGGUGAGAGCGGUGAUGAAGUGGUGGCUCGAGGUCGAAACAGAGACGGAGAGGGUACGGUGGCCGCGUUCUUCCAAAAACCCACCCAAAACCUAGAGAGAAAAGGAUCAGGGGAGUGUCCGGUCGGCCAGUCGUUCCUUCAACGGCGCGUGCACCAUCACGCCACGCAGAUCAGAAGUCCGAUUUCCAAGACAUGGUGACAGUUUGGAGGUCGGACAAGGAUCGCGUGGAGAUGUAACUAUCUUGCUUAGUCAUUAAUAACGUUCAAUAACGAGGAAAGUUUGAGAAAAUUGUUGUAGUACGAUCCAUAUGUUCAAGAUUCAAGGAGACAACUGAUCUGCCUAUAUGUUUAAGCAAGGGUAUUUUUCCAUAAAAUUAGAGUCAACAAACGUGUAUACAUAAUAUUAUACAUGUUCUAUCCUGAAGAACUAGAGACAAAUGAGUGUCUUGAAAGGAAUGUUAGUUGUUGUAUUGACACACAAAAUGGCAUAAGUGCUUUCAAGGACACUUAUAGAGGACGAGUAUGCGAAUGCCUUGCUGUAAACGGGGUGCAAUUUCUAAGGGAUGGACAUAUGCGUUUUGUGAAAGUUCAUGGAAUCCCCUUUAGUUGAGUUUUUAACAACACCACUCUUAACAUAUGUAACGUGCUUUAUAAUAUUGGAUGGUAUAAAUGACCGUCGUCGGACCCGGUAGAUGUAACGUCAACAAUGGCAGAUGUUGGUCGGCUAUACGGGAUGGAUAAAGGAGAAUAACAUAACCGGUUGUGGUUGCCCACAGGUAUUCGUGUAGAUGGUCGUACUUGUGAAGGUGUAAGGCCACUAAUGGUGGAUAUGAACGCAAACGCAAGGGGGACAAACUGUACAUAGCUGAUCAUCUUUUUUCGGUUAUUAAGUAUCAAAGUGUUGUUCAUGAGGUCGAUCCGUAGUUCAAUUACCAGCGGUUGUCAUGCCAAAUUGAUUCGUGCUUUAUCUUGCAAUAACCUCAGUUCCUAACCCUCAUUGUAUCCUUUUCCAAUUGAUUCAAGUUAGUGAUGAUCUUCUUUAUUGUUUGUAUCUAAUCAGUCCAUACUACAAGUCGAAAAGGCACACAUGUAAAGGCGAAUAUCAUGCAAGUAAUACAGUAUUUAAAUUUUUAACUCAAACCAAUAUUGAAUACAUGAACACAUAUGUAUACAGGUAUAAAAUCAUCGCUACAGUAACCAACAACACAGGAGGAAUCCAGGCAGUGAUUUUCGACCGAGCAGGCAACCAACUAUUGGGAAUGACAUGCGAAGAACUGGCUGCAAACGAAGACCCCAUGAAAACUCUGUAUAUAGUUAUCGGCAAAGAAGCAUACAUGAACAUCCAUCCACUAAGAACAUUGAACCAGCUUCUUCCGGUCUCACUGAUGCAAUAAAAACACCACAACCAACCACACCAACUCAAAAGGCAAACACUGGAAACGCAGCCAAGCACCAACUGGAAUUCCACGACUCAAAUCAGCCAUCUAAAAGGCCUGGCAAAGGCACCCUCACAGACUAAAAUCUGGUUAACAACAAUCAUUUGUUUUGUCCACCUAGAUCAACAACUAUAAGUGGGAUGGCAGAGUCAAGAGCAAGAAAUAGUCAACCAAUCUCUUUUGUACAAAUGAUGAUGACUGAACUGCAUGCUGCAUACACAAGCAACAUAGCACGUCAACUUUGUAAAACAUGUAGCUAAUGGCUGAAUGUUAAUGCCUAGACAUACUAUUUUUUUAUGGUUGCAUCUGCAAAGCAGCAUAACAACUUUAUGAUC